CAUGCGACCUGCGAUUGGUCGCAAGUCGCAAGUCGCAGGUUGUUGUUCGUUUUGAUGUCGCGCGACUGAUCGCGCGACCAGUCGCGGGUUCCCAUCUAAGUCGCCCGAAAAAACAGCGACUAAAAAUUAAGAAAAUUUUGAUCGCGCGACUGGUCGCAGGUCGCAGAUCGCAGGUCGCGCGACACGUAAACGAACAUAGUUUUAGUCGCAGGUCGCAGGUUUAGUCGCAGGUCGCAAGUCGCAGGUCGCGCGACACGUAAACGAACGUAAUCUUAGUCGCAGGUCGCAGGUCGCGCGACACGUAAACGAACAUGGC
rnacentral:lncRNA from 1 species